rnacentral:tRNA from 4 species
CGCGGGGUGGAGCAGCCCGGUAGCUCGUCAGGCUCAUAACCUGAAGGUCGCAGGUUCAAAUCCUGCCCCCGCUACCA